rnacentral:miRNA from 1 species
CGGGGUCUCACUAUGUAGUCCAGGCUGGCCUCACACUCACCAGCCUCUAGCCUCUGCCUCCCAUGUGCUGGGACUAAAGGCAUGAACCACCAAUGGCCG